GCGAACGCUGGCGGCAGGCCUAACACAUGCAAGUCGCACGAACUCUUCGGAGUUAGUGGCGGACGGGUGAGUAACACGUGGGAACGUGCCUUUUGGUUCGGAAUAACUCAGGGAAACUUGCGCUAAUACCGAAUGUGCCCUUCGGGGGAAAGAUUUAUCGCCAUUAGAGCGGCCCGCGUCUGAUUAGCUAGUUGGUGAGGUAACGGCUCACCAAGGCGACGAUCAGUAGCUGGUCUGAGAGGAUGACCAGCCACACUGGGACUGAGACACGGCCCAGACUCCUACGGGAGGCAGCAGUGGGGAAUCUUGCGCAAUGGGCGAAAGCCUGACGCAGCCAUGCCGCGUGAAUGAUGAAGGUCUUAGGAUUGUAAAAUUCUUUCACCGGGGACGAUAAUGACGGUACCCGGAGAAGAAGCCCCGGCUAACUUCGUG
rnacentral:rRNA from 1 species